GGCUUACAACAAUUAUCAUGAAUAAAAACUGCACACGCACCCCUAUACACAGAUUUUUAUCAUGAAAACUUCCUUUUAAAAAUCAAAUGACAGAAUUUACGUGCUUACAACACGUGUUUCUGGUAUACUGUAAAACAAAAUAUUUUCGAGGAUACUUUAUUUCGCAUUUUACCCAGUUCAAUCCACUUCGCGGCUGUUUAAUUUCACGACUUUCUAAAAUAUUUGAUGUACAUGUAAUCUAUUAAGGAAAUAUCCAAGUUUUAUAUAUUCGCGACAUUUUAAUUUCACGUUAUUUUUCUACUCGCGGAAGUCGCGAUAAUAAACCGCUCGCAAAAAUAAGUUGGUAAACAGUUUAAUGAUUGAUCGGCAAUGAAACAUAUAUCGCUAAAUACAAAAUGAAGCAGUGGAGAAAAGAUAUAGGGUAUCAUAUGAUCCCAACAUGGUAAACUACUCAUACCAAAAAUUGCAACGAUUAUAAAGAAAACAACUGACAUGGCAAAAUGUCUAACAAUUCAAAAGUGAAAACCUAGGUAAAACGAAAAAGAAAAAAAAACAACCAUUACAUACAAGAAAACCGAUACCGAAACUCAUAACACUUAUCAGCAAACCAGUUUCUUGAAAUCUUUUUCUCCAAAUCAAUUCAUAACGUUUUUUGAGAGCAUCACAUCAAGAUAAGCAUUUAGUUGAUAAAUGAAAAUACCGUCAAAUGUCAAACAAGACCUAGACAUACAUGAUAAACAUAUCAUUUGAUUCACAAAAAUCCCGCAGAACUGGUAACUAGAUGGAUAGAAAACCUAUUUAACUGAUGGUCUGUCAGUAGUAAUAUCAAUACAGUUUUUAUAACAAAAACUGACUGACUGUUUUUUGUGCGCAUAACAUUUUUUUUAUAAAUAUUCAUCCUGUGUGCACGUGAUAAACACGUGAAAGUCGCACAUAUAGAACACCACACAAUAUCGCUGAUCCCAACUACCAUUCAUAUGGCACCCAUUCCUCUUUAAGCAACGAGGAAUGAAAAUUGAUACACAACAUUGAAGUAGCUACAAAAGGAUAAAACAAUGUGUUGCAAAUGAUAUAGUUGUGAUAGACAAACUAUAAAAAUAUGGAAGCGACAUGCAAAUACAGACGUCAAUCAAGGAGAUGAAAGUAUAAAUCCGAUAGGCACGUGUUGUUGACAUCAAAUUCAAUAGAAGCAUUGAUAAGUAUACAUAUUUAAGAUUUUAAAAAAGAAUAAAAGAAUAUAAAUCAA
rnacentral:lncRNA from 1 species